CAAUCCUGGGACUGACAAUGUAUACUAUGCCUGGAUUAUUGAAUGGGUUCUAGGGAUCUGAACCCUAGCCCCCGGCCCAUACCUGACUCUUUAAGAAGUGUCUUUCAAGUUCUCCAUGGGCUCUGAGAAGAGCUGCCAUCUUCAGUUUGUCCCUGCAUCUAUUGUGAAGAUGGAGCCAUGCCUUUUGAGCUUUGGCAUACAAUUUGAGCAGAAACUGGAAGAAAGUCAUUCUACUGAAGUUUUCAUUGGUCUAGAGGAGAACAACAACAACAAAAAAGUGUGACCUUUUGUCCGAAGCCAAAUGUUAGAUUCUGGACAUGUUAAUAGAUGCCCAGCUCAUCACUGGCCUGGAAAGUUCCUUGAGAGCAGAAAUGGUUCCCACAUCCGAGGCUAUGCUGGGUAUAGAGGAUGCUGUGCCUGCUCCUGUCCCUCUGUGAAACCAAUAGCUGUAAAGAUCAGACCUGGAGACUCCAUGGCUGCCCCCUACCUCUGGAGGAAUAUGAUCUGGUGAUGCCAUCAUAAGGAUUUGGAAGAUGGAAGAAAGUGAGGCUACCUUAGGGGAGGCUUCAGCCAAAGAACCGUAGCAGUUUUGCCUCUUCCCUUCCAUUCCGGAGGUGGCAUCCAACAACAGGCUCCAAGCCUUGAAUGAAUGAGCCAUUGAGAAGGGGAACUGUGAGGGUCAAAGCUACAUUUUAAGCCUAAGAGACCCAUGAAACAAAAAUGCCUGUGAUCUGCAAGCCCCUUGCCCAAGGGCAGAUAGUUCCUGAAAUGAUGAAGGCUAUUGUUUAUGGGAGAUAACAAGUCACAUGUUUUCGCUCCCCUAAACAAGUUUGCUUGACCCAUCUGCACUGGAUAUGCUUGAUCACAUGUGUGUGGGAGACUCACAGACAGGAAAUAUGUCAGGAUGAAUGCUUGCUCCUGAUUGGACCUAACAAGGGGAUAGUUAAGCCUCUGCAAACCAUCACUUUUGGAAACCUAGAGAUGGACCUGGCCAGAGCCCAUCAGCAAGCCCGAGCUUACUUCAAAUUGUGGUAAUGGUCUUUUUCUCACCAGAACCUCAGUUGAGAAAAUGAUCCCACCAGAUUGGCUUGUGGGUAAGCCUUUGGGACAUUUUCUUGAUUGAUAAUGGAUGUGGGAGGGCCAGCUCACUAUGAGUAGUGCCAUCCUGGGUUGGUAGUCCUGGGUUCUGUAAGAACGCCAUUGGGAGCAAGCCAGUAAGCAGUACCCACCAUGGCCUCCGCAUCAGCUCCUGCCUUCAGGUUCCUGCCCUGCUUGAGUUCCUGUUCUGACUUUCUUUGGUGAUGAACAGCAAUGUGGAAGUGUCAGCCAAAUAAACCUUUUCCUCCCCAACUUGCUUUUUGAUAUGGCGUUGUGUUGGAACAAUAGAAAUCCUAACUAAGAUACAAGGCAAGGUCUCUAGUUCAGGCUGGCUUGGAAUUUAUUAUGUAGCCAAGAAUGACCCUGCUUCUGAUCUUCCUGCCUCUAUCUUGUGAAUACUGGGAUUACAAGUACCACCAUGUUUGAUUUAUGUCAUAUUGGGAAUCCAACCCAAGGUUUGUGCUAUCACCCACAAGGAAAAAUUGUAGAUAUAUGUCUAUAUCUAUAAUAUCUUAUAGAUAUAAUUAUAUACAUAUAUUUGUAGUCUGAUUUAUAAUGUAUGUUUUAAAAAAGUCUCUUGUACCCCUUAUUGCUCUGAGCAGUUACCUUCUGCUACUUAUUCCAAAACUAUGCAUUUUGUCUGCAAGAUCAUAACUCACAUGAUUUUAGAAAUUUCUAUUGAGUGGUUUGUUAAAUAAAAUGCUCAGUUCUUUCCCAUAUACCCCACAUAAUAAUCCUUCAGUUCUCC
ensembl:lncRNA